rnacentral:rRNA from 1 species
GACGAACGCUGGCGGCGUGCCUAAUACAUGCAAGUCGAGCGAAAUUUUUCUGCUGCUUUCACUAGCACAACUUACCGACGAACGGGUGAGUCACACGUAAAGAACCUUCCUCAUAGACUUGAACUCCUAUUGGAAACGCUAGCUCAUACCAGAUAACAGCGUUACCUGCUGGGGUGUGGUUUAAUUGUUCGUUUUGCUAACGCUUUGCGGUGUCUUUGCGUUGCGUUGGGUUGUUGGGGGGGUAAGGCCCUACCAGGUCGCCGAGCCGUAACCGACGUGAGAGGGGGAUCGGCGACACUGGAAGUGAGACACGGCCCAGACGCCUGCGGGAGGCAGCAGUAGCGAAUCGUACGCAAUGGGCGAAAGCCUGACGGAGCAACGCCGCGUGAGUGAAGAAGGAGUUCGGUGCGGAAAGCUCUGUUGUUAGGGAAGAAUGAUUGUGUAGUAACUAGACACAGUAGAGACGGUACCGAAUAAGAAAGCAACGGCUAACUACGUG